GAGUGUCAGAGUCUUCGUACGGGUCGUUCUCAAAGACGGAUGGCUGUUCAACGGGACAUGGAUGGAGACCCGUAUUAUCCUGCAUGCCAGCUGAAUUAUUAGAAGAGCCAAAACCCUGCGCCCUAAUCAGACGCAAUUAACCCGGAUUUAGCUUGCAUGAAACAAAAUAAUGCCUCAUCAAAUGGAUAUCUGCAAUGGUAACUGGGCUGUCGUGAGAAAAUCUAAAACCAAAGCACUCGUACCAAAUAUUGAACUCAUGAGUCUAUGGACUGAGGAAGGAAACUGGAGUACCCAGAGGAAACCCCCAAAGUACGAAAAGGAAAAAGGAGGAAAUCAACCCCUCAACUCCUGAGAUCGAUAUGAAUGAUCAAGUGAAGCUGUACCGGUCCGCUGUUUGAAGCAGAUCAAUCGGCCCGUGUGAUUUGGCACAGGUUUUACACCGGAUGCCCUUCCUGUCACAACCCUCCCAUUUUUAUCCAGGCUUGGGACUGGCACUGAGAGUCAACUCUUCAGCGGCUAGGGUGACGCCCUGCCCAGGAAUUGGACCCGGGCCGCGGCAAUGAGAGCGCGGGAGCCUGCCGCUGGACCACCAGGAGGCCUAUAUUGUCAUAC